UCUAAACCUUUCUUGCGACGUUAGUGAGCGUUUUCGGUGGAUACGACUACAAUAUCCCAAUUUGUGGUCGUUACAGAUGAUUGAGUGAUGUAAUUCGAACGAUUAUACUCGAAAAAUGAGGAAGUUGUUUAUGAAUCUGUUUUUAUCCUUCUGCGCAUCUAGAAGUCAUUUAUGCGUCAAUUUUUACGUUUACUUGAAAAGCUGUCGUGCAUUCCCUAUGAAAUUAUUUGUAUAGUUACAAAAAGCGUUUGACACAGGAUCCGUCCCACUUUAUUUUUAUUUAUUUCAAUUAGUUCAAUUAUUAGUUAAUAACUUGUAAUUAGAAAAUGCUUUCGCAAACUGAGUGAUAUACAAUUAGUGUGCGAAUG
rnacentral:rRNA from 1 species